rnacentral:rRNA from 1 species
UACGAAGGGGGCUAGCGUUGCUCGGAAUCACUGGGCGUAAAGGGUGCGUAGGCGGGUCUUUAAGUCAGGGGUGAAAUCCUGGAGCUCAACUCCAGAACUGCCUUUGAUACUGAAGAUCUUGAGUCCGGGAGAGGUGAGUGGAACUGCGAGUGUAGAGGUGAAAUUCGUAGAUAUUCGCAAGAACACCAGUGGCGAAGGCGGCUCUCUGGACCAGCACUGACACUGAGGCACGAAAGCGUGGGGAGCAAACAGG